UCCGGUUGAUCCUGCCGGAGGUUACUGCUAUCGAGGUUCGACUAAGCCAUGCGAGUCGAAUGUAGCAAUACAUGGCGAACUGCUCAGUAACACGUGGACAACCUGCCCUUAGGUUGGGUAUAAACCCGGGAAACUGGGUAUAAUACCCGAUAGGUCUCGAUUGCUGGAAUGCAUCGAGAUUUAAAGCUCCGGCGCCUAAGGAUGGGUCUGCGGCCUAUCAGGUAGUAGUGGGUGUAGCGUACCUACUAGCCUACGACGGGUACGGGUUGUGAGAGCAAGAGCCCGGAGAUGGAUUCUGAGACACGAAUCCAGACCCUACGGGGUGCAGCAGGCGCGAAAACUUUACAAUGCUGGCAACAGCGAUAAGGGAACCUCGAGUGCCAGGUUACAAAUCUGGCUGUCGAGAUGCCUAAAAAGCAUUUCAUAGCAAGGGCCGGGCAAGACCGGUGCCAGCCGCCGCGGUAACACCGGCGGCUCGAGUGGUAACCGUUAUUAUUGGGUCUAAAGGGUCUGUAGCCGGCCGGAUAAGUCUCUUGAGAAAUCUGGCAGCUUAACUGUCAGGCUUUCAGGAGAUACUGUCUGGCUCGAGGCCGGGAGAGGUGAGAGGUACUUCAGGGGUAGGGGUGAAAUCUUGUAAUCCUUGAAGGACCACCAGUGGCGAAGGCGUCUCACCAGAACGGACCUGACGGCAAGGGACGAAAGCUAGGGGCACGAACCGGAUUAGAUACCCGGGUAGUCCUAGCCGUAAACGAUACUCGCUAGGUGUCGGCCACGGUGCGACCGUUGUCGGUGCCGUAGGGAAGCCGUGAAGCGAGCCACCUGGGAAGUACGGCCGCAAGGCUGAAACUUAAAGGAAUUGGCGGGGGAGCACCACAACGGGUGGAGCUUGCGGUUUAAUUGGAUUCAACGCCGGG
rnacentral:rRNA from 1 species